AGUUUUGGCCUAAAUACCUUAAAGGCACUAGAUCCUAUCUGAUUUUGGAUGAUAAGCAGGGUUAGUCCUGCUUAGUACAUGGAGGAGGGACUGUGAACAAAUACCAGGUGCUGUAAGUU
rnacentral:rRNA from 11 species